rnacentral:lncRNA from 1 species
GCUGUGUCAUGUGUACUAUUGUUUGUCUGUUUGUCUUUUUCAUUUUUAGCCAUGGCGUUGUCAGUUUAUUUUCGAUUUAUGAGUUUGACUGUCCCUUUGGUAUCUUUGGUCCCUCUUUUAAGACUUAGUUGUUUGGUGGGGUUUGUGCUUCUCUAUCGGGAAUAUUUUGAUAACAGUGUUUUUGUGCCUAUUUUUUUUAUUCCACCAGGUAUCUUUUUUGUGAUUGGUUUUAUCUUAAAAAAACUCUUCUGUAUAUGUACAGAUCUUAAAUAUCAAUUCAAACACUAGUCCAUAACAUUCC